UCCGGAUUUAUUGGGCGUAAAGCGAGCGCAGGCGGUUAGAUAAGUCUGAAGUUAAAGGCUGUGGCUUAACCAUAGUACGCUUUGGAAACUGUUUAACUUGAGUGCAGAAGGGGAGAGUGGAAUUCCAUGUGUAGCGGUGAAACGCGUAGAUAUAUGGAGGAACACCGGUGGCGAAAGCGGCUCUCUGGUCUGUAACUGACGCUGAGGCUCGAAAGCGUGGGGAGCAAACAGGAUUAGAUACCCUGGUAGUC
rnacentral:rRNA from 1 species